AUGGAGAGUUUGAUCCUGGCUCAGGACGAACGCUGGCGGCGUGCUUAACACAUGCAAGUCGAACGAGAGCGUAGAGAAAGCUUGCUUUUUCUACAAUCUAGUGGCAAACGGGUGAGUAACGCGUAAACAACCUGCCCUACGGAUGGGGACAACAGCUGGAAACGGCUGCUAAUACCGAAUACGUUCCGAAAGUCGCAUGACUAUCGGAAGAAAGGAUGGCCUCUAUUUAUAAGCUAUCGCCGGAGGAGGGGUUUGCGUCUGAUUAGCUAGUUGGAGGGGUAACGGCCCACCAAGGCGACGAUCAGUAGCCGGUCUGAGAGGAUGAACGGCCACAUUGGGACUGAGACACGGUCCAGACUCCUACGGGAGGCAGCAGUGGGGAAUCUUCCGCAAUGGGCGAAAGCCUGACGGAGCAACGCCGCGUGAGUGAAGACGGCCUUCGGGUUGUAAAGCUCUGUUAUACGGGACGAAUAGUCUUGUGGUUAAUACCCAUGAGAAGUGACGGUACCGUAAGAGAAAGCCACGGCUAACUACGUGCCAGC
rnacentral:rRNA from 1 species